rnacentral:rRNA from 1 species
UUAUACAGGUGUUGCAUGGCUGUCGUCAGCUCGUGUCGUGAGAUGUUCGGUUAAGUCCGCUAACGAGCGCAACCCUCGCCGUAUGUUACAAGUGUCAUACGGGACUGCCGGUAAAAAGCCGGAGGAAGGUGAGGAUGAUGUCAAGUCAGCAUGACCUUUAUAUCCAGGGCUACACACACGCUACAAUGGUCUGUACAAUUGGUUGCCAAGCCGCGAGGCGGAGCCAAUCCGUAAAGCAGGCCUCAGUUCAGAUUGCAGUCUGCAACUCGACUGCAUGAAGCCGGAGUUGCUAGUAACCGCAGGUCAGCAAUACUGCGGUGAAUACGUUCCCGGGUCUU